CGUCGCAGAGGGUGAGAAUCCCGUACGCGCCGCUGGCCAAGCCCGUGUGAAGCCCUUUCGACGAGUCGAGUUGUUUGGGAAUGCAGCUCCAAGUGGGUGGUAAAUUUCAUCUAAAGCUAAAUAUCUGCCGGCGACCGAUAGCGCACAAGUAGAGUGAUCGAAAGAUGAAAAGCACUUUGAAAAGAGAGUCAAACAGUACGUGAAAUUGUUGAAAGGGAAGCGCUUGCAACCAGACUCGUUCGCGGAUGUUUAGCCGCCCUUCGGGGCGGUGCCCUCUUCCGCAGACGGGCCAGCAUCGGUUCUGGCGGCCGGAUAAAGGCUCCGGGAACGUAGUUUCCUUCGGGAAAUGUUAUAGCCCGGGGUGCAAUGCGGCCAGCCGGGACCGAGGACUGCGCAUUUGCUAGGAUGCUGGCGUAAUGGUUGCCAGCGACCCGUCUUGAAACACGGACCAAGGAGUCGACCAACCGGGCGAGUGUUUGGGUGUGAAGCCCCGACGCGCAAUGAAAGUAAACGUAGGUGGGAGCUUUUGCGCACCAUCGACCGAUCCUGAUGUCUUCGGAUGGAUUUGAGUACGAGCCCGGCUGGUCGGAC
rnacentral:rRNA from 1 species